rnacentral:rRNA from 1 species
UACAGAGGUCUCAAGCGUUGUUCGGAUUCAUUGGGCGUAAAGGGUGCGUAGGCGGCGCGGUAAGUCGGGUGUGAAAUCUCGGAGCUUAACUCCGAAACUGCAUUCGAUACUGCCGUGCUUGAGGACUGGAGAGAAGACUGGAAUUUACGGUGUAGCGGUGAAAUGCGUAGAUAUCGUAAGGAAGACCAGUGGCGAAGGCGGGUCUCUGGACAGUUCCUGACGCUGAUGCACGAAGGCCAGGGGAGCAAACGGG